rnacentral:rRNA from 1 species
AUUGAACGCUGGCGGCAGGCCUAACACAUGCAAGUCGAACGAGUGGCGGACGGGUGAGUAAUGUCUGGGAAACUGCCUGAUGUAGGGGGAUAACUACUGGAAACGGUAGCUAAUACCGCAUACCAUCAGAUGUGCCCAGAUGGGCUUGGCUAGUUGGUGGGGUAACGGCUCACCUAGGCGACGAUCCCUAGCUGGUCCGAGAGGAUGACCAGCCACGCUAGAACGGAGACACGGUCCAGAUUCCUACGUGGGGCAGCAGUGGGAAAUAUUGCACAAUGGGCGCAAGCCUGAUGCAGAAAUGCAGCGUGUAUGAAGAAGGCCUUCGGGUUGUAAAGUACUUUCAGCGGGGAGGAGUUACCCGCAGAAGAAGCACCGGCUAACUCCGUGCCAGCAGCCGCGGUAAUUC